AGCGAUGAACGGGCCCUCGCACCCGGGCUCACUGCCAUCGUGUGGCUUUAGUAAAAAGGUGAACGUUGAGAAAUAUGCAUUUAAACUCAUAAAUAUAAGUGCAAUAUAUCAAAGUUUAUUCCAUAUGUGUGCCAAUCUUCCUGUUGCCAGCAGGUGGCGCUAUCGUUAUAAUGGAAUAUUGGCCUUCAGAUGUGUUCAAGCCAGGACCCUUAUCACACAUGUGAAGUUUGGCCAAGAUCGGACAUUUUAUGCCUGAGUUAUAACAUCUUUUAUUCCCAUGGCGAGACAUCGAACUUCGUCAUGGCGACAUGGACAUGCCUUUUAACAAAAAUUCAAGAUCUUCACAACUAAACAUCACACAGGUCUUUAGAUUAGACUGACCACAAAAAAGACAUUGAUGUCAUAAAAUUUCUAGGAGUAGUUUGUCACAGUGUAAAAUAUGUCACUUCCAGUUGCCAAUAGGUGGCGCUAUGACUAUAACUGAAUAUUGGCAUGUAGAUCUGUUCAGGUGAAGAGUCUUAACAAAAAUGUGAAGUUUGGGGCGGAUUGGACAUUGUAUGUCUGAGUUAUAGCACCAUCAUUUUUCACGGCGAAUCAUCUAAAUUUGUCAGGCCGCCAUGGACACGCCCUUUAACGAAACCUCAAUUCCUUCGCAAUUUAACAUGGCAAAGGGCUUUAGAUUACACUGACCAAGUUUGGUGUUGAUCUGAAUAAAUCUCUAGGAGGAGUUCGUUAAAAUACAACCCCUGAAAAUGACAAAAACAACACCAAUUUUGCAGGGAAAAUUAAAAAUAACCGACUUCCUGUUGGGAUUCGGAUUUCGUACCAAGAGACUUUUUUGUAGCUAUUGGUGUGUUACAUAUGUUUACCGAUUUUCGUACAUGUAUAUGACAUGUAGCUCGAGGCGCACUCCAUUGAAAAUGUAUAGGUGGCGCUAUCGAGCCAUUUUGCCACACCCAAUGGAAUAUUAGCCUCCAGAUGUGUUCAGGUCAGUACUUUUAUCAAACAUUUGAAGUUUGGGCAAGAUCUGAUAUUUUAUGACUGAGUUACAGCAACUUCUACUCCCAUGGCGAGACAUCGAACUUUGACAUGGCGCCAUGGACACGCCCUUUAACGAAAACUCAAGAUCUUCUCAAUUUAACAUCGUAUAGGCCUUUAGAUUAGACUGACGACAAAAAAGACAUUGAUGUCAAAAAUUUCUAGGAGUAGUUUGUCGCAGCGUAAAAUAUGUCACUUCCUGUUGCCAAUAGGUGGCGCUAUGACUAUAACUGAAUAUGGUCGUGUCAAACUGUUCAGGACAGGAGUCUCAUCAAACAUGUGAAGUUUGGGGCAGAUUGGUCAUUGUAUGUCUGAGUUAUAGCAACUUCCUGUUUCAUGGCGAAUCAUCGAAAUUCGCCAGGCCGCCACACACAGGCCCUUCAACAAAAACUCAAAAGCUUCGCAAUUUAACAUCGCAAAGGCCUUUAGAUUAGGCAUACCAAAUUUGGUGUUGAUCUGAAUGAAUCUCUAGGAGGAGUUUGUUAAAAUACAAGGCAUGGAAAUGACA